CCCGUUCGGGUCCGUGGUUGCGCCGGGCCGGCCCCCUGGGGGCGGGCCUGGCUAGCCGAUGCCAGCCGCAGGCGAAACGGCCCACGUAAGGCGACUCUUCGUCGACCGAUCACGGUGCGGCUUAGAGGUAAGUCCUGCCUUCCCGGGGGGCCGGAUGUCCCCCGUACGAAGAGAAGGGUAGUAGUGGCGGGAGUGCCGCGAACCCCUCAGCAGGCGGAUGUGGGGACGAAGACCAGGUCGGCCGGACGGG
rnacentral:ncRNA from 12 species